rnacentral:lncRNA from 1 species
AACAUUGAUGGUCUGGAUAUUUGUGUCCAAUUAUCUUGCAAUAUCUUGUCAAUAAUUCAUCUGAAAUAAAUCCUCUCUUAAUUGCUCUUGUAGUAGAUUGUUUUUCUGGGUUAAGUAAUGUCAUUAUCCAUUGUCUAACAUAUUCUAUAUCUGCUUGUCGUAAUUCUUUUGAAUUUGAAUAAAUCAUCUGAUGGUCUCUUGAAUAAUAGCUCCAUAUUGGAUUUCCAUUGGUAUAAUUAUUUGCUAAUUCUUGAAUAAUUAUAGCUAGUCCAAUGAGUCGUUUAUUUGCGUAGAAAUCAGGUAUCUCAAUUCUGGGUAUCU